rnacentral:rRNA from 1 species
AUUGAACGCUGGCGGCAGGCCUAACACAUGCAAGUCGAACGAGUGGCGGACGGGAGAGUAAUGUCUGGGAAACUGCCUGAUGGAGGGGGAUAACUACUGGAAACGGUAGCUAAUACCGCAUAACAUAAGAUGUGCCCAGAUGGGAUUAGCUAGUAGGUGGGGUAAUGGCUCACCUAGGAGACGAUCCCUAGCGGGUCUGAGAGGAUGACGAGCCACACGGGAACUGAGACACGGUCCAGACUCCUACGGGAGGCAGCAGUGGGGAAUAUUGCACAAUGGGCGCAAGCCUGAUGCAGACAUGCCGCGUGUGUGAAGAAGGCCUUCGGGUUGUAAAGCACUUUCUGCGGGGAGGCGUUACCCGCAGAAGAAGCACCGGCUAACUCCGUGCCAGCAGCCGCGGUAAUAC